UGAAUGCAGUACAGGUGAUUCGUUCUUUCCUUGGAUUGAACGCAAGCUUCUCGAGAGAUUGUUCAUAUUUCCCAAAGCUAGCAGAUAUUCGGAUUCUAGGUGAACUGAAAUCGGCUCGGAACACUUGUUGUGCCGAGAAUUAUGAAAGAGAAAACGGAACCUCUACAAAGAGCAAAGAUGACUAGAUAAGACUUGGCUGAUGAUACAACCGGAUGUGUGUGAUUUUGAAGUGUCCAGAGUCAGCAAGAAGAGAAGGAAAAUAUGGGGCAAUGAUACUACUUUUAGACAAUGGGAGUGAUGGACACAUCAAUGAAAGGUGAAGAUAUAUAUGCAGGCAAUCCAGGAACUUCUACAAAAAUCAUCUCAUACCGAAAAUUGGUUGGAAAAAGAGUGCGUGAUCACCUGUCGUAGUUACAAUAGGCAAUUGUCCAUUUUCAAGCCUGUUCAUCAAAGCUUUGAUGGGGAUUCCUUAGAUUUCUCUGUCAAGUCUGUGAAGUGGCUUGGUUCUGUUCGAUUUCCUUUCUGGUGCCGUCUUUAGUCACUGGAGGCUAUGGAAGCUUUGUGCAUUGACUUGA